AUUGAACGCUGGCGGAAUGCUUUACACAUGCAAGUCGAACGGCAGCACGGGGCAACCUGGUGGCGAGUGGCGAACGGGUGAGUAAUACAUCGGAACGUGCCCAAUCGUGGGGGAUAACGUAGCGAAAGUUACGCUAAUACCGCAUACGAUCUACGGAUGAAAGCGGGGGAUCGCAAGACCUCGCGCGAAUGGAGCGGCCGAUGUCAGAUUAGGUAGUUGGUGGGGUAAAGGCUCACCAAGCCGACGAUCUGUAGCUGGUCUGAGAGGACGACCAGCCACACUGGGACUGAGACACGGCCCAGACUCCUACGGGAGGCAGCAGUGGGGAAUUUUGGACAAUGGGCGCAAGCCUGAUCCAGCCAUUCCGCGUGCAGGAUGAAGGCCUUCGGGUUGUAAACUGCUUUUGUACGGAACGAAACGGCGAGCUCUAAUACAGUUUGCUAAUGACGGUACCGUAAGAAUAAGCACCGGCUAACUACGUGCCAGCCGCCGCCGUAA
rnacentral:rRNA from 1 species